rnacentral:rRNA from 1 species
UACGUAGGGGGCAAGCGUUGUCCGGAUUUAUUGGGCGUAAAGAGCGUGUAGGCGGCCUGAAAGGUCAGCUGUGAAAACUCGAGGCUCAACCUCGAGACGUCGGUUGAAACCAUCUGGCUAGAGUCCGGAAGAGGAGAGUGGAAUUCCCGGUGUAGCGGUGAAAUGCGCAGAUAUCGGGAAGAACACCCGUGGCGAAGGCGGCUCUCUGGGACGGUACUGACGCUGAGACGCGAAAGCGUGGGGAUCGAACAGG